rnacentral:rRNA from 1 species
CGGGAGUGGCGGCAGCUACCAUGCAGUCGAGCGGAACGAUACCAGCUUGCUGGUAGGCGUCGAGCGGCGGACGGGUGAGUAAUACUUAGGAAUCUACCUAGUAGUGGGGGAUAGCUCGGGGAAACUCGAAUUAAUACCGCAUACGACCUACGGGAGAAAGGGGGCAGUUUACUGCUCUCGCUAUUAGAUGAGCCUAAGUCGGAUUAGCUAGAUGGUGGGGUAAAGGCCUACCAUGGCGACGAUCUGUAGCUGGUCUGAGAUGAUGAUCAGCCACACCGGGACUGAGACACGGCCCGGACUCCUACGGGAGGCAGCAGUGGGGAAUAUUGGACAAUGGGGGAAACCCUGAUCCAGCCAUGCCGCGUGUGUGAAGAAGGCCUUUUGGUUGUAAAGCACUUUAAGCAGUGAAGAAGACUCCUCGGUUAAUACCCGUGGACGAUGACAUUAGCUGCAGAAUAAGCACCGGCUAACUCUGUGCCAGCAGCCGCGGUAAUACAGAGGGUGCAAGCGUUAAUCGGAAUUACUGGGCGUAAAGCGAGCGUAGGUGGCUUGAUAAGUCAGAUGUGAAAUCCCCGGGCUUAACCUGGGAACUGCAUCUGAAACUGUUAGGCUAGAGUAGGUGAGAGGAAGGUAGAAUUCCAGGUGUAGCGGUGAAAUGCGUAGAGAUCUGGAGGAAUACCGAUGGCGAAGGCAGCCUUCUGGCAUCAUGCUGACACUGAGGCUCGAAAGCGUGGGUAGCAAACAGGAUUAGAUACCCUGGUAGUCCACGCCGUAAACGAUGUCUACUAGUCGUUGGGUCCCUUGAGGACUUAGUGACGCAGCUAACGCAAUAAGUAGACCGCCUGGGGAGUACGGGCCGCAAGGUUAAAACUCAAUGAAUUUGACGGGGGCCCGCACAAGCGGUGGAGCAUGUGGUUUAACUCGAUGCAACGCGAAGAACCUUGCCUGGUCUUGACAUAUCUAGAAUCCUGCAGAGAUGCGGGAGUGCCUUCGGGAUUAGAUACAGUGCUGCAUGGCUGUCGUCAGCUCGUGUCGUGAGAAUGUUGGGUUAAGUU